rnacentral:rRNA from 1 species
UACGAAGGGAGCGAGCGUUAUUCGGAAUUACUGGGCGUAAAGAGCGUGUAGGUGGUUUGGUAAGUCGAUUGUUAAAUAUCACGGCUUAACUGUGAGCAAGCGAUCGAAACUGCGAGACUAGAGGUCAGGAGAGAGAAGUGGAAUUCUCGGAGUAGCGGUAAAAUGCGUAGAUCUCGAGAGGAACACCGAUGGCGAAGGCAGCUUUUUGGCCUGUACCUGACACUAAAGCGCGAAAGCGUGGGGAG